UACGUAGGGGGCAAGCGUUGUCCGGAUUUAUUGGGCGUAAAGAGCGUGUAGGCGGCCAGACAGGUCCGUUGUGAAAACUCGAGGCUCAACCUCGAGAUGUCGAUGGAAACCGUCUGGCUAGAGUCCGGAAGAGGAGAGUGGAAUUCCUGGUGUAGCGGUGAAAUGCGCAGAUAUCAGGAAGAACACCCGUGGCGGAGGCGGGUCUCUGGGCAGUAACUGACGCUGAGGAGCGAAAGCGUGGGGAGCGAACAGG
rnacentral:rRNA from 1 species